CUYUCGAUGGUAGGUUACGCGCCUACCAUGGUCGUAACGGGUGACGGGGAAUCAGGGUUCGAUUCCGGAGAGGGARCCUGAGAAACGGCUACCACAUCCAAGGAAGGCAGCAGGCGCGCAAAUUACCCACUCCCGGACCGGGGAGGUAGUGWCGAAAAAUAMCGAUACGGGACUCUUUUGAGACCCCGUAAUCGGAAUGAGCACACCCCAAAUCCUUCGGCGAGGAUCCAUUGGAGGGCAAGUCUGGUGCCAGCCGCUGCGGUAAUUCCAGCUCCAAUAGCGUAUAUUAAAGUUGUUGCGGUUAAAAAGCUCGUAGUUGGAUCUCAGUUCCAGACGGGCGGUCCCCCAACCGGGGGCCACCGCCCGUUCUGAACAGCCGGCCGGUUUCCCUCGGUGAUCUUCACCGGUUGUCCUGGGUGACCGGCGAGUUUACCUUGAAAAAAUUAGAGUGCUCAGGGCAGGCGCGACGCCUGGAUAAUGGUGCGCGGAAUAAUGGAGUAGGACCCCGGUCCUAUUUUGUUGGUUUUCGGGACGCGGGGUAAUGAUCAAGAGGGACAGACGGGGGCAUUCGUAUUGCGACGCUAGAGGUGAAAUUCUUGGACCGUCGCAGGACGAACCGCUGCGAAAGCAUUUGCCAAGAAUGUUUCCAUUAAUCAAGAACGAAAGUUAGAGGUCCGAAGGCGAUCAGAUACCGCCCUAGUUCUAACCAUAAACGAUGCCAGCCAGCGAUCCGGCUGUGUUCCUCAAAUGACACGCCGGGCAGCUUCCGGGAAACCAMAAGCUUUUGGGUUCCGGGGGAAGUAUGGUUGCAAAGCUGAAACUUAAAGGCAUUGACGGAAGGGCACUACCAGGAGUGGGUCGUGCGGCUCAAUUUGACUCAACGCGGGGAAACCUACCCGACCCGGACACACGGAGGAUUGACAGAUUGAGAGCUCUUUCUUGAUUGUGUGGGUGGUGGUGCAUGGUCGUUCUUAGUCGGUGGAGCGAUUUGUCUGGUUCAUUCCGAUAACGGGCGAGACUCUAGCCUGCUAAAUAGGCGCCCCGGUCGCACCCCGCCGGGCGCCCUUCUUAGAGGGACAGGCGSCGUCCAGCCGCACGAGACAGAGCAAUAACAGGUCUGKGAUGCCCUUAGAUGUUCGGGGCCGCACGCGCGACACAUUGAAGGGACCAGSGUGUGCUCUCCCCGUCCGGCAGGACCGGG
rnacentral:rRNA from 1 species